UUCCUUUUUUUAUAGUCGUAUCCUUCCUUAAUAAGAAAUAAUUUGAAAAAUCAGUACAGUUGUGGUAGAUGUGGUUUAGGUUUGUGGGAUAAGGAUGACUUAGUUUUUCAUAGUCAUGCCAACAAUCAGUUUUGCACUUCCUUCUUUACUAAGCCCAUGGAGUGGAUGCAUAUUCCGCUAGGUCUUAUUUCAGGAAAACUUUUUUGCCCCAAAUGCCACUAUCGUUUAGGGUCCUUUCAUAUGGCUGGCAUUCAAUGUUCGUGUGGAAGUUGGGUCAGCCCAGGUUAUCAACUUCAUCAAAAAAAAGUCCGUUGGUAAGUGGAUAUGGGUGACCGUUAUAUUAAUCUUAAAAGUUUUAGUAGGACUCUAGCAAAAUUGCAAUAGACAGCUUGACAAGUCAUCGUUCCUCUUCUUAUUGGAUUUUUAAGACUUUGAUUUGCUUUACUAAGAUUACAUUGGAAGUUAGUUUAAGUUUUUACAAAAGCUUGUCCCCUGCUAUUGGAAAGUAUUUAAUAUAAGCACCUAUGCUUUUUUAAUUUCUUGUUA